UACGUAGGUGGCUAGCGUUGUCCGGAUUUACUGGGCGUAAAGGGCGUGCAGGCGGUUUGUUAAGUGCAGGGUGAAAGCUCCCGGCUCAACUGGGAGAGGUCCUUGCAUACUGGCGAACUCGAGGGAGGCAGAGGAAAGUGGAAUUCCCGGUGUAGUGGUGAUAUGCGUAGAUAUCGGGAGGAACACCUGUGGCGAAGGCGGCUUUCUGGGCCUUACCUGACGCUGAGACGCGAAAGCGUGGGGAGCGAACCGG
rnacentral:rRNA from 1 species